rnacentral:lncRNA from 12 species
AUUCCAUGCAUGAGGACCACCUCUGUUGCUCACAGUGGCCAACUAAUCCAGUUGGAGAUGAUUCAGGCUUUGCAUGGUCAACAUGCAAACUUGAUGAAAGGAACUGGUUGAUGUGCUGAAGCUGACAAAACAAAAAUACAAGAUCAAAGCCCUGCCCACCGGUGGCUUACUAUCCAAUUAGAGAAAAAUCACAAAGCAAAAUUGUGCCUAAUCAACACAAUGGAAGUGGACAAUGAACAUAACGGUUCUAAGAAGAACUACAAAAAGCUUAUUAUAUGAGAGUUUCCAAUGUUUGAAUAGACAGUUUAGAAGAUGCUGCAUCACUCAACACUUCUGUCUGAGGGGAAGAUUGAGGGAACCCAGAAUUCCACAAGAGCUUGUCUACCAGCGUUCAGAUCUCAGGAGUAUGGCCGAGUGCAAAGCUGCAUUCAUGGAGACAAAAGUUCUUACCCUGCAGGAUAAGAGACUUUGCUCCUUCAGACCCACCACAUGGCUUCAUGACUUCAAUCAAUUAAUAUUGACAUAG